UCUCAAAAUUGGUGACCUUCC
rnacentral:siRNA from 1 species